UACGGAGGAUGCGAGCGCCAUCCGGAUUUAUUGGGUUUAAAGGGUGCGUAGGCGGGCUUUUAAGUCAGCGGUAAAAAUUCGGGGCUCAACCCCGUCCGGCCGUUGAAACUGGGGGCCUUGAGUGGGCGAGAAGAAGGCGGAAUGCGUGGUGUAGCGGUGAAAUGCAUAGAUAUCACGCAGAACCCCGAUUGCGAAGGCAGCCUUCCGGCGCCCUACUGACGCUGAGGCACGAAAGUGCGGGGAUCGAACAGG
rnacentral:rRNA from 1 species